GACAUGGGGACACAGACAUGUGGGGAAACUAAGACACUAGGGACACUGAGAGAUAUGGGAACACGUCUGUGUUCCCAUAUCUCUCAGUGUCCCUAGUGUCUUAGUUUCCCCACAUGUCUGUGUCCCCAUGUCU